CCCCAGCCCCGAUAGAAGCAGAAAUCCUUCUGCGCCGGGGUUCGGCGCAAAAGAUUGCUUCGCCAGUUCGCUAGCGCUCGGGUAGAGCGGAUAGCGGGAAAAGCU
rnacentral:sRNA from 1 species